AAUCUAUGGUGUAGACAAGCUCUUAAUAGUUCUUUGUAUCUCUCCCAAGCGUCAAAAAGAGAUUCACCGUUCUGUUGUGUGAAUCUGAUAAUUUGGUUUCGCAGGAU